rnacentral:rRNA from 1 species
UACGAAGGGUGCAAGCGUUACUCGGAAUUACUGGGCGUAAAGCGUGCGUAGGUGGUUCGUUAAGUCUGUCGUGAAAUCCCCGGGCUCAACCUGGGAAUGGCGAUGGAUACUGGCGAGCUAGAGUGAGGUAGAGGAGAGUGGAAUUCCCGGUGUAGCAGUGAAAUGCGUAGAGAUCGGGAGGAACAUCAGUUGCGAAGGCGGCUCUCUGGACCAUCACUGACACUGAGGCACGAAAGCGUGGGGAGCAAACAGG